rnacentral:tRNA from 1 species
GAACCCGUGGCGCAGUGGUAGCGCGUGUGAUUCCAGUCCACAAGGUCAUCCGUUCAAUCCGGGUCGGGUUCA